rnacentral:rRNA from 1 species
UACAGAGGGGGCAAGCGUUGUUCGGAAUUACUGGGCGUAAAGGGCGCGUAGGCGGCCUUCUAAGUCGAACGUGAAAUCCCCGGGCUCAACCCGGGAACUGCGUCCGAUACUGGAAGGCUUGAAUCCGGGAGAGGGAUGCGGAAUUCCAGGUGUAGCGGUGAAAUGCGUAGAUAUCUGGAGGAACACCGGUGGCGAAGGCGGCAGCCUGGACCGGCAUUGACGCUGAGGCGCGAAAGCCAGGGGAGCAAACGGA